AGAGUUUGAUCAUGGCUCAGAAUCAACGCUGGCGGCGUGCCUAACACAUGCAAGUCGAACGCGAAAGUGGAGCAAUCCAUGAGUAGAGUGGCAAACGGGUGAGUAACGCGUGGGUGACCUGCCUUCGAGCGGGGGAUAACGUUCCGAAAGGGACGCUAAUACCGCAUGACAUCCUGCCUUUGAAGAGGUGGAGAUCAAAGCUGGGGAUCGCAAGACCUAGCACUCGAUGAGGGGCCCGCGUCUGAUUAGCUAGUUGGUGGGGUAACGGCUCACCAAGGCAACGAUCAGUAUCCGGCCUGAGAGGGCGGACGGACACACUGGGACUGAGACACGGCCCAGACUCCUACGGGAGGCAGCAGUGGGGAAUUGUUCGCAAUGGGCGCAAGCCUGACGACGCAACGCCGCGUGGAGGAUGAAGAUCUUCGGGUCGUAAACUCCUUUCGAUCGAGACGAACAGCCUUCGGGUAAACAAUCCGGAGGUUUGACGGUACCGAGAGAAGAAGCCCCGGCUAACUCCGUGCCAGCAGCCGCGGUAAUACGGGGGGGGCAAGCGUUGUUCGGAAUUACUGGGCGUAAAGGGCUCGUAGGCGGCCAACUAAGUCAGACGUGAAAUCCCUCGGCUUAACCGGGGAACUGCGUCUGAUACUGGAUGGCUUGAGUUUGGGAGAGGGAUGCGGAAUUCCAGGUGUAGCGGUGAAAUGCGUAGAUAUCUGGAGGAACACCGGUGGCGAAGGCGGCAUCCUGGACCAACACUGACGCUGAGUGAGCGAAAGCCAGGGGAGCAAACGGGAUUAGAUACCCUAGUAGUCC
rnacentral:rRNA from 1 species